rnacentral:tRNA from 1 species
GGAGGGGUGUCUGAGUGGUUUAAAGAGGCGGUCUUGAAAACCGUUGAGGUGCAAGCUUCCGGGGGUUCGAAUCCCUCCCCCUCCGCCA